AACGAACGCUGGCGGCAGGCCUAACACAUGCAAGUCGAACGCCCCGCAAGGGGAGUGGCAGACGGGUGAGUAACGCGUGGGAACCUUCCCAGUGGUACGGAAUAACCCAGGGAAACCUGAGCUAAUACCGUAUACGCCCGAAAGGGGAAAGAUUUAUCGCCAUUGGAUGGGCCCGCGUCGGAUUAGCUAGUUGGUGAGGUAACGGCUCACCAAGGCGACGAUCCGUAGCUGGUCUGAGAGGAUGAUCAGCCACACUGGGACUGAGACACGGCCCAGAAUCCUACGGGAGGCAGCAGUGGGGAACAUUGGACAAUGGGCGCAAGCCUGAUCCAGCCAUGCCGCGUGAGUGAUGAAGGCCCUAGGGUUGCAAAGCUCUUUCGCCAGGGACGAUAAUGACGGUACCUGGAUAAGAAGCCCCGGCUAACUUCGUGCCAGCCGCCGCCGUAACAC
rnacentral:rRNA from 1 species